CCUACUCGUCAGUGCAGCUAUGCCUGAGCCAGCAAAGGGCGCGCCCAAGAAGGGCUCCAAGAAAGCCGUCGCCAAGAGCGUCAGCAAGUCCGGCAGAAAGCGAAAGAGGAGCAGGAAGGAGAGCUACGCCAUCUACGUGUACAAAGUGCUCAAGCAGGUGCACCCCGACACCGGCAUCUCGUCCAAGGCCAUGAGCAUCAUGAACUCGUUCGUCAAUGAUAUCUUCGAGCGUAUCGCCGCCGAGGCGUCUCGUCUGACUCACUACAACAAGCGCUCCACCAUCACGUCCAGGGAGAUCCAGACCGCCGUGCGUCUCCUGUUGCCCGGUGAGCUGGCCAAGCACGCCGUGUCCGAGGGCACCAAGGCCGUCACCAAGUACACCAGCUCCAAGUAGAACGCUCCGACCGUACUACAAAAACAACGGCUCUUUUCAGAGCCACUUCAUUAUUCUUGAGAAAAGAUACACCAAGUACUCUCCUGCCUGCUUCUCUGAUCACCUUGGCUGCAGUGGUCCAGUCUUCUGGAAGCUCUUCCCGUCCACCGAGAGCCUGUAUCACCUCUUCCCGAAAAGCUGCACAACACUCGUCCUGUCUCAGCUUCCACCACAUGGUUCUCUUCUCUGCCUUUGUCUUCCUAAUUUUCCUCCCCACCACCAGAGUCAUCUUACACACCACCAUCCUAUGCUGUCUAGCCACACUCUCCCCUACCACUACCUUACAGUUGGUAACCUCCUUCAGAUUACAUCGUCUGCACAAGAUGUAAUCCACCUGUGUGCUUCUACCUCCGCUCUUGUAGGUCACCCUAUGUUCGUGCCUCUUCUGGAAAAAAGUGUUCACUACAGCCAUUUGCAUCCUUGUUGCAAAGUCUACCACCAUCUGUCCCUCCAAGUUCCUUUCCUGGAUACCGUACUUACCCAUCACUUCUUCAUCACCCUUAUUACCUUCACCAACAUGUCCAUUACAAUCUGCACCAAUUACGACUCUCUCUCUCUGUCUGGGAUGCUCAGAACUACAUCAUCUAGCUCCUUCCAGAAUUUCUCUUUCACCUCUAGGUCACAUCCUACCUGUGGGGCAUAGCCACUAAUCACAUUACACAUAACACCCUCAAUUUCAAAUUUCAGCCUCAUCACUCGAUCUGAUACUCUUUUCA